UACGAAGGGGGCUAGCGUUGCUCGGAAUUACUGGGCGUAAAGCGCACGUAGGCGGCUUUCUAAGUCGGGGGUGAAAUCCUGGAGCUCAACUCCAGAACUGCCUUCGAUACUGGAGAGCUCGAGUCCGGGAGAGGUGAGUGGAACUGCGAGUGUAGAGGUGAAAUGCGUAGAUAUCGGAAGGAACAUCAGUGGCGAAAGCGACUUCCUGGACCAAUACUGACGCUCAUGUGCGAAAGCGUGGGGAGCAAACAGG
rnacentral:rRNA from 1 species